AGUUAUUAUUUUGAUUUUUCCACUCUUCUACUAACCAAAAUAAAAAUUUUUUAACAAAGAUCUACGUACAUCUUAAUAAAAGUUCUGGCUGUAAAAAAACCAUUAUUAUCAAUUAAUUAAUAAAGUUGAUGGUGACGUAAAAUAUUAUUAAAAUUAGUAUCAUUAAAUGCAGUUUUGAAAUAUAUUAAUAUGAAGACCAGAUCAACACGUCAUAAAUGGAAAGAUACAUUUCAGCUUGCAGAAGGGAAGAAAACGACGAGGAAGUGGAAAUAUAUUUUCAUGAAACGACACAAAAAUGGAAUCUCCUGAAAUUAACAUAUGACUAUUGCCGUUCUAAAAUAUAAAUGAGAAAAAUUAUUAGAAUUUUGUAAUCUCUCGAUAAAGAACAAUAUAUCAUCGAACGUUUCUAAAAUAUAUAUAGUUAAAAAUUAAAUGAGACAACAAAUUAUCCAGGAAAACUCGGAAUUAUCUACAAAUGAAAAUAAGCUUAUCUCUAAAAACAAUGAAAAAGAAAACGAAGAUGGAAAUGUCCAGGAUUAUAGAAUCAUCUACUUUUGGAAAAAUUGACAAAGGUGAUAACUUCUGUGACAAAGAAAUAAAUGCGUAAGGAAGAAAAUACGAAAUUCUAUAGUAAAAGGCAACAAAACUGCAACAAGAAAAGACAUAUAAGCUGCAGUUCGUGGGAGAAUUGAAAUUAGCAAUAGAGGAAGAAACCUAAAAUUAUGCAACAAAGGAAGAAAAUAAACAAGAAGAAACACGCUUAGUAAACAUCUUCAGUUAUAUGCAUCUGCACCUCUGCUGACACGCUUUUCCACAUUACAAUAAAUUCAUGGUACUGAUGUGAUAUUGCCACAUCUUGAUAUAUCUCACACUUUUCCUCUGUGUUUCCACUGUGCAAUUGCUUCUUUUAAAGGAAUAGUGUUUUAUCGCUGAACAAGAAGAAGAAGGAAAGUCAGUUUUAAUUCAGUAGUCAACAGUCUUAAUUAGAGAAUGUCUGAACUGAAUCUUUCCAAUCGGUUCAUAACUCUGUAAAUCUAUUAAUAUGUACAUAUUUGUGUCAUAUUUAAUCAUUUUUUACUCCUUAAAUUUUAUUAAUUGCUAACGAUUGACCUAUACUAUUUCUUACAAGUAUGUAGGAAGAGAAAUAAACUAUGCGAAUGUUUGAAUUGUCAGAAAAUAAGCGUAAAUAAUUUUUUAUUUCAAUCGUACAGUUAAUUUCUUUUAUUUUAUAGUAUUUCGUACUAAUUACAUUCGAAUUGUAUUUUUUUCUGUGUAUAUAUAUUUCGAUGUAAGCCAUUUCAAAAGUAUCUCAAUAAUUAUUAAUAUAUUACUUUAUUUUCUCGCACACAUGUUGAUUAAGUUCUUUGAAAAAUUUCUAAUUUUGUGUCUGAAUAUACAAAAAAUAGAGGUUUUGUCAUUUGUAAAUAGUUAUGUUAAAUUUUAGAAAAUAUAUAUAAAUUAUAAAAUCAAUCAUAAAUAAUGAAAUAUAUUAAAAUUAUAAAUCAUUCUGUAUUAUAUUAAAAGUUAUAUUUUAUGGUUGUUCGAAUAAAAUGCAAAGUUAGAUAGGAAUUGAGAGUCACUGUUACGUUUCUCACAAGUGCUCAGAUGGUUUACUAUUCCUAUAUAAUAAAUUUCCAAGCUUAAUAUUAACGAAGUUUCUUCGUGCGUCACUUCGGAGCCACUAGCGGAGUUCGUCAGUAACUCUCAACUUGCUUUGAGGAAAGUCCCUGGACCUUCGGCAGAGAGUGCCGUAACUUAGCUGUUAUAAGCCUUUCUUUGCCGUCUUUCUCGAUUAUAGGAUAGGAAGCCUUUGGCUGAUCUUUUCGAGAUUGGGCGAGAGUGUAUUGGUCAAAGCAAAGUUUUCGAUGUGUUCGAGACGCGAAUUUCUAUCCAUCUUGUAUGGAUGAAUCUUCGUAUCUAACUGAACAGGGCUUUCAGCGAGGAAACUUCUUC